rnacentral:misc_RNA from 1 species
CCCUCGAUCUCUGCUCCAAAGAAACUUCUCCUCCACCUCCUCCCACGCCGUUAUCACUCCCCAAGAUCCCACCCGCUGGGCCCUAAUUCCCGUCGCAAUACACCGCAUUGGGCGUGCGCGUUGUGCCACCGCCACCGGGGUAGCGUCUCGGAUCUGACCGGCGAGUCGGUGGCGGGGCCUUGGGUGCGUCUGAGAAGUGACCGCGAAUCUAAGGAGAGCACAGGAGAGCGCGGCGGGGAAGGAGCCGGGACGAAUGGCGCCGACGCGGGGCGCCGGAGGCGGGGUGCGUCUGCCGCCGAUGAACGCGCUGGAGAUCCUGCGGGAGACGGUGCGGGUGCUGCGCGGAGACCCGCACGCGUUCACGUCCAUCCUCUUCCUGCUGCUCUGCCCGGCGUCCGGGUGCCUCCUCCUGUCCGCGGCCGCGCUGGACGGGGCCGUCGUGCUGCCGCUCGCGCGGAGGCUCCUCGCCGCCGCCGCCACGUCGGGGCUCCCGCUCACGCAUUUCGUCGGGCAGCUGGCGCACCACCUCGCCGCCACGCUCGUCUCCGCCGUCGUCUCGCUGCCGGCGCUCCUCACGCUCCUCCUCGCCGCCCGCGCCGCCGUGGCAUACACCGUCGCGGCCGUGUACGCCGGGAAGCCCCUAGCGGCCGGGGACAUCACCCUCCUCGCGCGCCGCGCGUGGCCGCGCCUCGCCGCCACGUACGCGCUCGGGUGCGCCGCCGUCGCCGUCGGACUCGUCGCCUUCCUCGCCCUCCUCGUCACGGCCUGCUCCACGCUCAGGGCCAUGCUCUACCCGCCCGACAUUGUCGUCUGCGCGGGCCUCUUCACUGUCCUCGCCUACUCCGUGGUGUACGCGCACACCAUCAUCAUCUGCAACCUCGGCGGCGUCAUCGCCGUUCUCGAGGAAGUGGCCGGGAUCAAUGCGCUGCGCCGGUCGGUGCAGCUGAUGCGUGGGCAGACCCACGUCGGGCUGCUCAUCUUCCUUGGAUCCACCAUUGGCCUAGCUUUCGUGGAAGGGCUGUUUGAGCACAGGGUGAAGACGCUGAGCUAUGGCGAUGGCUCGUCGCGGCUCUGGGAGGGGCCAUUGUUGGUCCUCAUGUACUCGGUCGUGAUGCUGGUUGAUUCAAUGAUGAGUGCGGUUUUCUACUUCACUUGCCGGUCAUCAAACUUGGACUUCUUGGACGAGCAGGGUGGCUCGGUUGAGGAGCUUGAGAUGAUGAGGGCUGGCAGUUUAGAUGCAUUUAGGUGAUGAAGAAGAUUGGUUUAUUUCUCACGUGUGUAUCUGUUCAUAGCAUCAUAGGAGAAUAAGUGAGAUGGCCAUUUGUCAAGAGCCGCACAGAUUGACAAGUCCUUAUUGGUGGUUACAAGCCAUGGUGGCUUAUGUGUAUGCAUGGGUUGAUUAGCUGAAGUUGGUGUUGAAAGGAACAUUUUUUGCAGCCAUUUGGUAUAUCCAUGCUUAGUCAAUAGCGGAUUUGGAUGGGAAGGCUAGAGGGAGAUCUGUCAUGUGGUUUGUUCUGGAUCAGAUCCAUGUUUUGGCAGCGAUUGAAGAGCUGGUGAUAUGUGUAGCAUUCUUUCAAAAUGGUGUAACUAGUAUAUCAAUUUAAUCGUUGUGGAAUUUUGUUGCCUAAUGGCAUUUUGGUUAUACUGGAUGAAACAUUUGUUACUGGGGAAAU